rnacentral:tRNA from 1 species
GUCAGGUUGGCCGAGUGGUCUAAGGCGCCAGAUUUAAGCUCUGGUUCCUGAGAGGAGCGUGGGUUCGAACCCCACACCUGACA